AUUUAUAUAGUUUAGACCAAAACAUUACACUUUCACUGUAAAGAUAAAGAAAACUUUUAUAAAUA
rnacentral:tRNA from 1 species